rnacentral:lncRNA from 1 species
CUUCAACUUGUAUUUAAUUCUAUAUCAAACAAAUGCAAAUAUUAGUUAUCAAAAAGUAAUUUGAAAAUCGUGAUUUUCAUCUUAUAGCACUACCUUUAACUUCUUAGAAGCCAAGAAACAGCGGAUGAUACAUGUUGUGAGGUUGCAUGAUCUCUCGACGCAAAAUCUCGCUCGUAAAAAUCUGCAAACAAGGCCUGCCAACCAAAACAGUCAUUGGGCAAAUGGACGCCUGUAGAUUCUCUACUUGCUCGACUUAGUUCUACUAAAGCUUUGAGCUUUUCACAAGUUGACCUAGUGGAAGAACAUUCGUACUUUCCUGAUUUAUUAGUCUGAAGCAGUGUUCGACUGAUCUUUAUGAAGAAGGGUAGUUGUAAAAUCUGGAGAUACGAACCAACCCGUCUAAAAAUAUAGUUUGGACUAUGCUAAGGUCGUUUUUAAAAUAUGAGGAUUGGACCGUUAUGUAAACAUUCGAUCAACCAAAAUUUGACGUUGACAUCUACUUGACUCUUGGAGUUGACUGUACUUGAACAAUUUACCUACACAAAAAUGUAAAAUUCUUUUACUAUUCAAAGUUGAAGAUAAUUAAGUUA